UUGUGUUCCUUCGGAAUGCAUCGAUGGUUUUGGCACAUAAAGUGGGUCUCAGGACAUUGGCGGAAGAUGCAGUAGCUGCGGAACUCGUCCGAUCCAUCUGCACAGUGGGUGACAUUAUCGCAGGUAAAGAGCUGACUAACAUGGCAGUUGAUGAUUUCAAAUUGUUAUGAGAGCACUUAGCGGCAUACAGUAAAUAACAUUUAUUGUCAUUCAUCACCGCAUCAUAAUCAUAAUACACACAAACACAAAUUGUCACUCAAAGCCGAAAGGGGCAUUAUAAAAAUAUUACUGCCAAAGCGCAGCCUGGGGAAAUUUCAAAAUAAUGGACAAACGUGACCGGCGCAUAACGAGGACGAACAUGAUUUUCACUUAAACGAAAACUUGUUGGCCAGAAAUCCUUUAAAGACCAGGAUAUGCGGACUGCCAGCCAGCCAGUGGAAGGGGUGUUGACUCACGGACAUCUGUCAGAGGCAAGCAAAAGCGAUUUUGCGGUUAGUCUGUGCAUCGUAUUUGCCCAGUGCCAUCAUGAGCAGGAGAGCCGAAGAGCUGCAGCAUCAACAGCCACGUAACUGAGACAGGAGCAGUCCACGUAAUUGAAUCACCCUCGAGAACAUAUUAAAACCAUCCUGAGCAGCUCGCCAGCAUUCCCCACGAGUCCCCGGCUCUCUUUUCUGUAUUUCUGGAUGUCGGACUGCGGUUUGGCCUUCAGACAAAAAUGACCGAUACCAGGGACCAGACCAGGAUUUACCGUCCGUCUACCUCUGGUCGGAUUGUUGGUAUUUUGUUGUUCAACUGAGUUGUGCAACUGAUUGCCGGUUGGCUUUGCUGUACGUGCGUUUCAUAAGUUCAUUUGCUUA